rnacentral:sRNA from 1 species
GGCCCCCGUGCAGCAGGCAGCCAGCCCCACCAACCCCACAGCCAUCUCCCCUGAGGAGUACUUCGACCCCAACUUCAGCCUGGAGUCACGGAACAUUGGCCGCCCCAUCGAGAUGUCCAGCAGAGUACAGAGGUUCAAGGCAACCCUGUGGCUGAGUGAAGAGCACCCACUCUCCCUGGGUGACCAGGUGACCCCCAUCAUCGACCUAAUGGCCAUCAGCAACGCUCACUUUGCCAAGCUGCGCGACUUCAUCACUCUGCGCCUUCCACCUGGCUUCCCCGUCAAAAUUGAGAUUCCCCUUUUCCACGUGCUCAAUGCCCGCAUCACCUUCAGCAACCUGUGUGGCUGUGAUGAGCCCCUGAGCUCCGUGUGGGUGCCGGCCCCCAGCUCUGCUGUCGCCGCAUCAGGUACCCCCACGGGAGGAAGAGGGAGCCUGCACAGCUUUCUGGUCACCAAGCCCCGCGGGUUGAGCAUGGCCCCUCUGCCACCUGCCUAGGGAACCCUUUCCCAUGCGAGGUGGACCCCACCGUGUUUGAAGUGCCCGACGGGUACAGCGUGCUGGGCAUGGAGCGCAACGAGCCCCUCCGGGACGAGGACGAUGACCUCCUGCAGUUCGCCAUCCAGCAGAGCCUGCUUGAAGCGGGCACCGAGGCGGAGCAGGUGGGACUUGCGCAGGGGGUGGGCUCUGGCCUCUGCAGCCACAGGGCAGAAGUGACAGCUGUGGGCUCUGGUGGCUGCAGGUGACCGUCUGGGAAGCCCUGACCAACACCCGGCCCGGUGCCCGCCCUCCUCCCCAGGCCACGGUUUAUGAGGAACAGCUUCAGCUGGAGCGGGCCCUCCAGGAAAGCCUGCAGCUGUCCACAGAGCCCAGGGGCCCAGGAUCCCCUCCCAGGACACCCCCAGCCCCCGGUCCACCCAGCUUUGAAGAGCAGCUGCGCCUGGCCCUGGAGUUGUCUUCACGGGAGCAGGAGGAGCGGGAGCGGCGCGGGCAGCAGGAGGAGGAGGACUUACAGCGGAUCCUGCAGCUGUCACUCACUGAGCACUGAGCCACAGCCCUGGGAGGGCUGGCCAGGCCACUCCCUGCCCGCUUUUGUAAUUUAUUUAUUUAUAAACUCUCUGCUGCUGAGCUUGGGGCCUGGAGCCCCAGGAAUGAGCAGGCAGGGGA